rnacentral:lncRNA from 1 species
UGCCUAUGCAGAGAUACCAUGUGCUUGGAAUUGUGCAAGAAAACAUAAUUGCAACGGUCUUAACUCAUGUGGCCCUCUGAAUGUUGACAUUCCACCGCUCUCAUGAUCACCUAUAAAUAGGUUCGGUCAUGGUCAAAUCUCUCUCCCCCACCCCCCCCUCCUCCCUCUUUUAUAGCGAGGGUUGGAACAUUCAUUAAGUUUUGAGGUGAAUUUAGUCAAAUUUCACAUUCAACUUG